rnacentral:rRNA from 1 species
GUCGAGAGGGUUCGGCCCUCGGCUGACGGCUCGGUAACACGUGGAUAAUCUGCCCUUAGGUGGAGGAUAAUCUCGGGAAACUGAGAAUAAUACUCCAUAGAUCUAGGAUGCUGGAAUGCACUUAGAUUGAAAGCUCCGGCGCCUAAGGAUGAGUCUGCGGACUAUCAGGUUGUGGUCAGGGUAAUGACCUGACUAGCCUACGACGGAUACGGGUUGUGAGAGCAAUAACCCGGAGACGAUAUCUGAGACACGAUAUCGGGCCCUACGGGGCGCAGCAGGCGCGAAAACUUCACACUGUGCGAAAGCACGAUGAGGGAAUCCCGAGUGCCAACUCGUAAGAGUUGGCUGUUUCUCUGUCUAAAAAAUAGAGAGAGUAAGAGCUGGGUAAGACGGGUGCCAGCCGCCGCGGUAAUACCUGCAGCUCAAGUGGUGGCCACUAUUAUUGGGCCUAAAACGUCCGUAGCCGGUUUAAUAAAUGCCGGGGUAAAUCGUGUAGCUUAACUAUACGAAUUCCGGGUAGACUGUUAGACUUGAGACCGGGAGAAGCUAGAGGUACUCCUGGGGUAGAGGUGAAAUUCUGUAAUCCUAGGGGGACCACCAGUGGCGAAGGCGUCUAGCUAGAACGGGUCUGACGGUGAGGGACGAAGCCCUGGGGCGCAAACCGGAUUAGAUACCCGGGUAGUCCAGGGUGUAAACGCUGCUUGCUUGAUGUUAGUUGGGCUCCGAGCCCAAUUAGUGUCGGAGAGAAGUUGUUAAGCAAGCUGCCUGGGAAGUACGGCCGCAAGACUGAAACUUAAAGGAAUUGGCGGGGGAGCACAGCAACGGGUGGAGCGUGCGGUUU